UACGUGGGUGCGAGCGUUGUCCGGAAUUAUUGGGCGUAAAGAGCUCGUAGGCGGCUUGUCGCGUCGGAUGUGAAAGCCCGGGGCUUAACCCCGGGUCUGCAUUCGAUACGGGCAGGCUAGAGUGUGGUAGGGGAGAUCGGAAUUCCUGGUGUAGCGGUGAAAUGCGCAGAUAUCAGGAGGAACACCGGUGGCGAAGGCGGGUCUCUGGGUCAUCACUGACGCUGAGGAGCGAAAGCGUGGGGAGCGAACAGG
rnacentral:rRNA from 1 species